GUAAAAUACAUGGUUUUAAAAGUUAAGAAAGAUGGUUUGUCCGAUUUUAAAGUUUAGAGAGAAAAGGUGGACUUUCGCAAAAGUUAAGGAAGAAAAAUUAGACCUUUUUCUUUUUUUUCAUACGUCGACAAUAUAACCUCAUUUAUUUAGAAGCCCAAUUAAUAUUGAGCCCUACACAUGGUAUGUAUGUAGGCCAGAACGGCCAUUCUUGUCAGUCCACGUGCCGCAGGCUGCAGGUGAACAAGAUGCUUGGCCCAUUUAUGGUCGGCGACGACAAGAGGUCCACCGUCCACCACCACCACCGCAUGCCU
rnacentral:lncRNA from 1 species